rnacentral:rRNA from 1 species
GCACAUUUCUCCAGCAGUUCGGAACGUAUGUUCCGUGGGGUAGGGACCUCCUCAGUCGCCACACCAGUGGUGGUGUGCCAGCAAACCCCCUACCACUUCAAGCUCGGCCUCUCCCUCCCACCCACCCCGUGGCAGAGCAGGCCGGGCCACUGGCACCCGCGUGAUUGACCUGUCCAGCCGACCCACACAUGUCGGGGAUGCUCUUUGACGCUCGGGUCCCGCAGACAGUCCCAGAGGGUGUGAAGGUCAGGCCCAAAUCGUGGCUCGUCUGGCCCUUUGGUGACUCUAGAUAACCUCGGGCCGUUCGCACGUCCCGUGAUGGCGAGGAUGCAUUCGGAUAACUGCCCUAUGAACUUUCUAUGGUACUUUCUGUGCCUUCCAUGGUGACCACAGGUAAUGGGGAAUCAGGGUUCGAUUCCAGAGAGGGAGCCUGAGAAAUGGCUACCACAUCCAAGGAAGACAGCAGGCACGCAAAUUACCCACUCCCGACUCGGGGAGGUAGUGAUGAAAAAUAACAAUACAGGACUCUUUUGAGGCACUGUAAUUGGAAUGAGUACACUUUAAAUCCUUUAACGAGUACCCAUUGGAGGGAAAGUCUGGUGCCAGCAGCCACAGUAAUUCCAGCUCCAAUAGCGUAUAUUAAAGUUGCUGCAGUUAAAAAGCUUGUAGUUGGAUCUUGGGAACGAGCUGGCGGUCUGCCGCAAGGCGAGCUACCUUCUGUCCCAGCGCAUGCCUCUCGGCACCCUCUUGAUGCUCUUGACUGAGUGACCUGGGGCAUUCGUAUUGUGCCGCUAGAGGAGAAAUUCUUGGACCGGCGCAAGACGUACCAAAGCAAAAGCAUUAACCAAGAAUGUUUUCAUUAAUUAAGAGCGAAAGUCUGAGGUUCAAAGACGAUCCGAUACCAUCGUAGUUCUGACCUUAAAUGAUGCUGACUAGCGACAAUAUUCCCAUGACCCGCCAAGCAGCUUCCGGGAAACCAAAGUCUUUCAUGUUCCGAGGGGAGUAUGGUUGCAAAGCUGAAACUUAAAGGAAUUGCCAGAAGGGCACCACCAGGAGUUGAGCCUGCGGCUUAAUUUGACUCAACACAGGAAACCUCCCCCGGCCCGGACACGGAAAGGAUUGACAGAUUGAUAGCUCUUUCUCGAUUCUGUGGGUGGUGGUGCAUGGCCCUUCUUAGUUGGUGGAGCAAUUUGUCUGGUUAAUUCCGAUAACGAAAGAGACUCCUCCAUGUUACCUAGUUACGCAAACCCCAGCGGUCAGCGUUCAACUUCUUAGAGGGACAAGUGGCGUUCAGCCACAUGAGAUCGAGCAAUAACAGGUCUGUGCUGCCCUUAGAUAUCCGGGGCUGCACGUGCGCUACACUGAACGGAUCAGCGUAUGUCUACCCUUCGCCGACAGGUGCGGGUAUCCCGCUGAACGCUGUUCGUGAUGGUGUUUGGGGAUUGCAAUUAUUUCCCAUGAACGAGGAAUUCUCAGUAAGUGUGGGUCAUAAGCUUGCGUUGAUUAAGUCCACGCCCUUUGAACAUACCGCCCAUCGCUACUACCGAUUGGAUGGUUUAGUGAGGUCCUCGGAUAGGCCCUGGCGGAGUGGCAAGAAGACGAUCAAACUUGACUAUCUAGAGGAAGUAAAAGUCAUACCGUUUGGGUUAACCUGCCAGGGAUUU